UACGGAGGGUGCGAGCGUUGUCCGGAAUCAUUGGGCGUAAAGGGCGCGUAGGUGGCGGGACAAGCGUGCGGUGAAAGCCUGGGGCUCAACCCCGGGUCGGCCGUGCGAACUGUUUUGCUCGAGCACUGUAGAGGCAGGCGGAAUUCCGGGUGUAGCGGUGGAAUGCGUAGAGAUCCGGAAGAACACCGGUGGCGAAGGCGGCCUGCUGGGCAGUAGCUGACACUGAGGCGCGACAGCGUGGGGAGCAAACAGG
rnacentral:rRNA from 1 species